rnacentral:tRNA from 1 species
AGAACUGCUAAUUCUUACCCCUGAAGUUAAAUUCCUCAGACCCCUCACUUUUAAAGGAUAAAAGAUAAU